AACGCAACUUGCGCCCUCUGGUAUUCCGGAGGGCAUGCCUGUUUGAGUGUCAUGUAGAAUCAUCUAAUCAGGUUUCUGAUUAAGGUGGAUUUGGGGGUUGCCUAAUUGGCUCUCCUUAAAAGCAUUAUGCAGACGUAAUAAGUUUCGUCGUACGCAUACUAAACUAUAUUUGUACUCUGGCCUCAAAUCAGGUAGGGCUACCCGCUGAACUUAA
rnacentral:misc_RNA from 1 species